rnacentral:pre_miRNA from 1 species
UCCUCUCUGGUCCAGUGGUUCUAGAUAGUUCAACAGCAGUCAGCUCGCUUGUGAAAUGUUUAGGACCACUUGAUCCGGG